UACGAAGGGGGGCUAGCGUUGCUCGGAAUCACUGGGCGUAAAGGGUGCGUAGGCGGGUCUUUAAGUCAGGGGUGAAAUCCUGGAGCUCAACUCCAGAACUGCCUUUGAUACUGAGGAUCUUGAGUACGGGAGAGGUGAGUGGAACUGCGAGUGUAGAGGUGAAAUUCGUAGAUAUUCGCAAGAACACCAGUGGCGAAGGCGGCUCACUGGCCCGAUACUGACGCUGAGGCACGAAAGCGUGGGGAGCAAACAGG
rnacentral:rRNA from 1 species